rnacentral:tRNA from 1 species
GCUGGCGUAGCUCAGUUGGUAGAGCGCCUCACUUGUAAUGAGGGGGUCACCCGUUCAAGCCGGGUCGCCAGCU